AACGCACCUUGCGCUCUCUGGUAUUCCGGAGAGCAUGUCUGUUUGAGUGUCAUGAACUCUUCAACCCACCAGUUUCUAGUAGACUGUUUGUGGUGUUUGGAUCUUGAGCGCUGCUAGUCUGACUAGCUCGUUCGUAAUACAUUAGCAUCUCUAAUUCGAAUUCGGAUUGACUCAGUGUAAUAGACUAUUCGCUGAGGACACUAUUAAUUUAGUGGCCGUACUAGAACCAGUAGAAGCUUCAAACUACUUUAGUCAACUUUGAUUUAGACCUCAGAUCAGGCAGGAUUACCCGCUGAACUUAA
rnacentral:rRNA from 1 species